CUACCAUUAAACGGAGAUUCAUUUUACCCUUCAUGAAGUCUAGGCUCAUAUUUGGUAGAUGGAGAGCUAUAUUCAAUCUGGGGAUUGCUAUAAUCACUAUACUCCCUUGAAUCGCAACGAUUGCUCUUGUAAGAGCAGCCUGCUUCGCUCUCUGGACUAGGAGAGGUCUACCCACUGGAAGCUGGAUCCUGGUCUUUUGGUCCAGGGUGGGUGGAGGACAGCAAGACCCCAACCAAGCUGCGGCGGUUUGUGGGGUUUACGGUGGUUAUAUUGUUCCAGUGCAGUGCUUAUGGUGCUCACAAGUACUAGGAAGCAGCGACUGAUGGAGGUACCCGAUCGGGGUGCCAGGCGGUCCAUCACAGUGGUGUU